rnacentral:tRNA from 1 species
GGGCGGAUGGUUUAGUGGUAUAAUUUUCCCUUAGCAUGAUCUGACCAACGAGUUAGACACCGCAUGGGAAAGGUCCGGGGUUCGAUUCCCCGUUCGUCCA